rnacentral:rRNA from 1 species
UACAGAGGGGGCAAGCGUUGUUCGGAAUUACUGGGCGUAAAGGGCGCGUAGGCGGCCUUCUAAGUCGAACGUGAAAUCCCUGGGCUCAACCCAGGAACUGCGUCCGAUACUGGAAGGCUUGAAUCCGGGAGAGGGAUGCGGAAUUCCAGGUGUAGCGGUGAAAUGCGUAGAUAUCUGGAGGAACACCGGUGGCGAAGGCGACAUCCUGGACCGGCAUUGACGCUGAGGCGCGAAAGCCAGGGGAGCAAACGGG